rnacentral:rRNA from 1 species
UGGGGAAUAUUGGACAAUGGGCGAAAGCCUGAUCCAGCCAUGCCGCGUGUGUGAAGAAGGUCUUCGGAUUGUAAAGCACUUUAAGUUGGGAGGAAGGGUUGUAGAUUAAUACCCUGCAAUUUUGACGUUACCGACAGAAUAAGCACCGGCUAACUCUGUGCCAGCAGCCGCGGUAAUACAGAGGGUGCAAGCGUUAAUCGGAAUUACUGGGCGUAAAGCGCGCGUAGGUGGUUAGUUAAGUUGGAUGUGAAAAUCCCCGGGCUCAACCUGGGAACUGCAUUCAAAAACUGACUGACUAGAGUAUGGUAGAGGGUGGUGGAAUUUCCUGUGUAGCGGUGAAAAUGCG